rnacentral:lncRNA from 1 species
GGGCAAAGAAAAGUAAAUUAUAAGAGGGCAUGAAAACUACUAAACAGUAGUGUUUAGUAGGUACAGUCGGCGACAACCACGGCCACCCACUAAGUCUAUUAAAGGUAGAAAUAGAGAAUAACAUAACAAUAAAAAGAAAUGACGUACAAAACUGGAUAACUAUAAAAUCUUUUAUGCCUCUAAACAGAUAAGGUUAUGAAAUUGUAAAUAAUUAAUAAGGCUAAUUGCAUACAACUCCUUGUAAACAUAGCAAAUUGCAAAUAUAUCUUUACAAAAUUUAAUUUUCUUAUAUUAUUCUUGAAAAAGUCCUAAUAUUUUUAAAUAUACCCCUACCAUUAGGAUCCGUUAGAAAAAAUACCAUAGGUAAAAUACUUAACCCUGAUUAGUCAAUAAGGUCAAUUAACAUUUUUACCUCUCUUAUAUUAUAUCUUUUUCUCUCAAUCAAAACUCUAGCGAUGGAAACUCAUUUUCUUCUUCCUCUUUCCUCUUCUUUUUUCUCUCUCUCCUUUAUGCUAGUUUUAAACCUGUAAUUGGAAUUUCUCUAUCCCCAUUCAUCCAUGACACAUGUUGUUUCGCCCAUAUUGAACGUGUUUUGCUUUCCCAUUCAAUUUUCUUUUUGAUUUUUUCUUAUUUUGCUCAAAAAAAAAAGAGUGAGAAAAAAGAUUAUAAUAAUGGUGGAUUGGUUUGAGUUUUAAAGAGGAAGAAGAUGAGGAAGAAGGUGAUCAUUGAAAAUUUUUGGGAGAAUAUUUCUGCAAGAUUAUAGCAGUUGGGGCACUUAGAGGGACAUAUUUAUGAUGGGAAAUUUGACAUUUCACUUAUCUAUUGUUGAAAAAUAAAUGGUUUUUUAACAGGAACAAAUCAGUGGAACAAAUAUGCAUAUUACUGGACUUUUGCAAGGAAAAGAGUUAAAAGUUAAACUUUGUAGGGUAUAUGUAACGACCCAGCCCACUAGCAACAAUAACUCAUUGGACCAAAACACUGGCCCAAAAUGUUUAAACCCAGUUAUUAUCUAAAUCUCUUAUAUACCAAAUCGUAUCCACAUUCCUAUCCGAUAUGGGAUUAUUGGGGUCUGUCUCCCAAAAUUACCAGGCGAUGUGAAACUCGUCUCGCUAGCCUUGUCAUUCAGACCCUGGCAUAGCCGGUCAACUUGUCAUUCAUAUUCCGGUAUAGCCUAUCAUCUUGUCUUUCAGAUCCUGGCUCAGCCGAGACUCGCCACACAUUUCCGGCAUCUCACUAGCCUUGUUAUCUAGACCCUGGCAUAGCCGGUCACCAUGUCAUUCAGACUCCGGUAUAGCCUAUCAUCUUGUCUUUCAGAUCCUGACUCAGCCGAGGCUCACCACACAUUUUCAGGAACUGGCUCUGAUACCAAAUGUAACGACCCAGCGCACUAGCAAUAAAAACUCGUUGGGCCCAAAUACCGACCCCAAAUGCUUAAGCUUAGUUAUUAUUACUAACGUCUAUAUCUUUUAUGUCUUUUAUAUAUCCAAUCACAUUUCCAUUCCUAUCUGAUAUAGGAUUAUUGGGGUGUGACAAUAUAUUUGCUAUUCGCUAUGUUUAUAAGGAGAUGUAUGCAAUUAACCCUAAUUAAUAUAUAUGCCAACUAUAAUACUGAUAACGAAAUACGAUAUCACCCAAUAAUAAUGACCGACUCAGCAGUUCGAUCAAACUUCUGCUGGCCUACUCAUCGGUCCAUAUUGUCACGACCCGACACCGCCAAUUUGGACAGUUCGGGCGCGAAACAGACACGAGAAAUAUUAGCAACCAAACAUUUGCAAGAGAUAUACACAGAUGCGAAAGAAAUAAAGCUAUCUAUUACAUCACAUGUUCACAUAUGAAACAUUACAUUCUCAUUUAGACAUAAUAUGACAUCCUUUAUACACCAAAAAGGGUAUCUCACACAUACUGUCCUAGAUACAUCGUCAAUAUGUAGGCUACUAUCUCUGCUAUAUCGCUAGCCAACAUCCGGAGCGGCAGUCGAGAGGAGCGACCCCUAGCGAGUAUCAUAGCGCAAGUCACUAUUAAACUCAAUGUGGCUCUGCAGAUUAUAGUCCAAUGCGAUGAUCAAAGAAAUCACAAUAUACUGUCUCGGUGCCCCAGGCACAAUCAUAAAACAUCUAAACAUCAAUUACAAUCACUACAAUAAAAGCGGUCUAUAGCGACACUUUUAAAUGUAGGUACAUGUCAAAAAAGUGCUGCUAGCUAAAAUUACCGACACUUUUAAAAAGUGUUGCUAUAUGUGGGGUCGCUAGGUAUAUAGUGACAGUUAAAGAGUGUCCCUAUAACCUAAAAGAGUGCUGCUAAUUUAUCAAUACUUAUUUAAGCAUUUAGCAACUGCCGAGACUCUAUCUCAUUGGCUGCGGUGGCGGAGGAGGACGACAGGAAAGGCUCUUCGUCUAGAAUUUCAGUGGAUUAAGUGAAGAAAGAAGAAAAGUUGGUAAUUGAUUUUUCUUUUUUUUUUUUCUUUUCUGUUUGUAAUCGGAUCAAAUGGACUGGGUGUGGUGGAUUGAGUAGAGUAAUCUUUUAUUUUUGGUUGGAUUGGGCUUUAUAUUUAGGCAUAAGUAGAUGUUUUUUUAAGUUUUAGCAUAAAUGGGACACUUACUCAAAAGUGUCCCAAACAUGUGUCUCUAUAACCUAAUUCUGUUAUAGUAAAUCUAACUGUCCCUGAUGAAAAAUACAAUCCAUAGCGUAUUUUGUAAUUUAC